rnacentral:rRNA from 1 species
UACGUAGGGGGCAAGCGUUGUCCGGAAUCAUUGGGCGUAAAGCGCGCGUAGGCGGCCCGACAAGUCCGCUGUAAAAGUCCAGGGCUCAACCCUGGAAAGCCGGUGGAAACUGUCGGGCUAGAGUCCGGAAGAGGCGAGUGGAAUUCCUGGUGUAGCGGUGGAAUGCGCAGAUAUCAGGAGGAACACCAAUAGCGAAGGCAGCUCGCUGGGACGGUACUGACGCUGAGGUGCGAAAGCGUGGGGAGCAAACAGG